rnacentral:ribozyme from 15 species
AAGAUAUAAAAAAGCAAAGAACAAAAGUCCAGAUGGAAAAAUGGAGACGGAUACAUGUAUGUGUCACAC